AUUUAAAUAGCUUAUGGAGAGCAUAAUAUUGAAGAUAUUAAGGAAGUUUAAAACUUUUAAAUA
rnacentral:tRNA from 1 species